ensembl:lncRNA
UAGAGGAUCACACCUGUUUUAUCUACAAGCAUACUAAGGUAAAUCUGCUGAUGUCCUUGUGAGAGAGAGAGGAUUACACUUGUUUAUCUACAAGGAUACAAAGGUCAGCCUGCUAAUGUCCUUGUGCAGGAAAGGAGAUUGCACCUGUUUAUGACAAAGAUACUGAGGUGAGCCUGCUGAUGUCUUCAUAAGGGAGAGGGGAUUGCACAUGUUUAUAAGGACACUGAGGUAAGCCUGUUGAUGUCCUUGUGUGUGAGAGGGCUGGCACUUGUUUAUCUACAAGGAUAGUAAGGUCAGCCAGCUGAUGUCCUUGUGCAGGAAAGGGAUUGUACCUGCUUAUCAAUAAGGAUACUAAGUUAAGCCUGCAAUGUCUUUGUGCAGGAGAGGAGAUUGCACCUGUUUAUCUACAAGGAUACUAAGGUAAACCUACUAAUAUCCUCAUGCAGGAAGGGACAAUGGACCUGUUUAUCUACAGAGAUCCUAAGGUAAUCCUACUGAUGUCCUUGUGCAGGAGAGGGGAUUGCACCUACUUCUCUAUAAGGAUACUGAAGUAAGCCUGCUGAUGUCCUUGGGUAGGAUAGGGUAAUGAAACUGUGUAUCUACAAGGAUUCAAAGGAGAUGGGAUUGCACCUGUUUAUCUACAAGUAUAUCAAGAUGGACCAUCCUGGAGCCACACAGAGCCUGGGGCCAUCUUCUGAUCACUUUGCCACAGAACUACUAGGAGCAGCUCUUUAGAUUGAAGAAGACCAGGCCACCAGGCCCCAACGCCAUCCAAACAGAUCUGACCUCCAUCAUCCCAGCAAGGAAGUGAUGGGCCUGCCUUGUGAGCUGGGUCUGAUGAACAUCACCCCACUGAAUCCUCCAGCUAUCUCAGGGCUUCAGGUGUCUCAGCUCUAACAUGACUCCAGCUAAACACAGCUGACUUUGCCUCCACAACUGGGAGAAGCAGCUUGGAAAAACCCCCUAGGGAGCCAGGGACCUCAGACCCAGCUGCUUCCACUCAGCGGGGCCACAGAAGCUGCUGAGGCCCAGGCUGGGUGUGCACUGAGCAAAGCAAAUGGAUGAUUCCCAGCAGGGAUGUUGAGACAGUUCAUCCACCCUUGACAUCUUCCUACGGCAGCUUGCUGGCUUCUGCCUGUGUCACCUCCCCACAGUCUAAGGAGGGUUGGUCACUUGUUAUGGGGCACUCAGCAGAAGAAUACAGCGUGAUUAUCUCCAUCGUGCGAUGAUGUACCGAGUCCAGAGCCUCUGUCAGGCCUCCUCUGUCCAGCAACUCUGCCACACCAGCAACCUGGGAGCCCCCAACAGCAUCAGGAUUCAGUCCACAGCAAGCCUGGGCCUGCUCUGCUUCUGAUGGGCAGGAGAAGCCAGGGCCUCUCCAGUCCUGCAUUCCUGUCCUUGACAAAGCUCAGCUUGUGGUGGUUCCUACUGAUGCCAGCAGGUGAGUAUCCUCACUAGGACUUUGUCACACCUGUGCACCCCCAGACUGUGAGGAUGCUCCUGCAGGCCACCCAUUGCACUCAAGGGAGAAGGCCGAGGAUUUCUGGCUUUAGCAGUACUUUAAAUGUUUCCAGCAUCGGUGUUCUUCAUCUGCAAAGUGCAGGUGGUACAAUCGGCCUCUCCAGGACUGAAUGAUGCUGGACUAUCACUCAGGACAUACACAUGAACCAGAUGAUGACCACCAACAUCUGGCUAAAGCAGCAGGGGAGCUGGAUUCUCACUUGGUGGCUCAGGGCUUCCAAGGUGACAGUUCCAAGAGGCACGAAGUAGAAGCUGCUGCGGUUCUCUUACUUUUGGACACUAGCCCAGCAUCAGUUCUGCUGUACUCCACUGAUCCAAAGGAAUCCAGCUGGAUCCAGGUGAGGAGCAUAGCCAAAGACUGUAUGGCCCUCUGAUUUGCCACUCCUGGCACAGACUCAAGGACAGGCCCUAAUUAGAUCCCAUCCUAUUCCUCAGGCUCUUCCCAGCCACUCCCCAAUCCCCAACACAGAGGAGGCUGGAGAGUAAAUGAAAGAGGACCCAGACCCUGGCACACAGCAUUUUCCUCCAGCCCACUGGUAUCUGCCUGUCCCUAUGGCAGAGGCAUAGCCCUGUUCUGGCAUCAUAGCCCCUGGCAGUGUGGUGAUGAGACCCCUUCCCCACCACAGAAGUGGAAGCUGACCCAGAACCCUGACAUUACCUCCCUCUGGGUCCCUUCUGAGUUGAUCUGGAUCCCAGAAAUUAUCCUCUACAACAAGUAGGAAGCAGUGGGAGUCUUGAGGGGAUUCAGGGGUACCUCCCAGUGGGGUAGUGACAGAGGCUUGGGUGGGGUGGCCCUGCCUCCCUCUCACCUCCUUGGCUUAUUCCUUUAUUUUUCACUCCUAUACACUAGCAUUUAAUGAGCACCCACUGCCUUUCAGUGCCCGGCCUUGUGCCGGUGGACAGACUUGCAGGUCCUGAGGGGUCAUUGGGAAACACAGUGCAGGCUCAAGGGCUGGCGUUGUGAUGAUGGCAAUGUUGUCAGAACUGUAAGAGGCUUCCCAGGGCAGUGACUUUGAAG